rnacentral:rRNA from 1 species
CGCCUUCGCCACGCCCGCUCAGAAACUUAAAGGAAGUUCGACGGGGCCGGCACAAGCGGAGGAGCAUGUGGUUUAAUUCGAUGAUACGCGAGGAACCUUACCUGGGCUCGAACGUAAGAUGACUGUAGGUGAAAGCUUACAUCUCUUCGGAGCAUUUUACGAGGUGCUGCAUGGUUGUCGUCAGCUCGUGCCGUGAGGUGUCGGGUUAAGUCCCAUAACGAGCGCAACCCCUACCUUUAGUUGCCAUCAGGUUAAGCUGGGGACUCUAAAGGAACUGCCUACGCAAGUAGUGAGGAAGGCGGGGAUGACGUCAAAUCAGCACGGCCCUUACGUCCAGGGCUACACACGUGCUACAAUGGCCGAUACAGAGGGCAGCUACCUGGUGACAGGGAUGCAAAUCUCCAAAGUCGGUCUCAGUUCGGAUCGGAGUCUGCAACCCGACUCCGUGAAGUUGGAUUCGCUAGUAAUCGCGCAUCAGCCAUGGCGCGGUGAAUACGUUCCCGGGCCUU